rnacentral:rRNA from 1 species
GCUUGCUACCUGACCUAGCGGCGGACGGGUGAGUAAUGCUUAGGAAUCUGCCUAUUAGUGGGGGACAACAUUCCGAAAGGAAUGCUAAUACCGCAUACGCCCUACGGGGGAAAGCAGGGGAUCUUCGGACCUUGCGCUAAUAGAUGAGCCUAAGUCAGAUUAGCUAGUUGGUGGGGUAAAGGCCUACCAAGGCGACGAUCUGUAGCGGGUCUGAGAGGAUGAUCCGCCACACUGGGACUGAGACACGGCCCAGACUCCUACGGGAGGCAGCAGUGGGGAAUAUUGGACAAUGGGCGAAAGCCUGAUCCAGCCAUGCCGCGUGUGUGAAGAAGGCCUUUUGGUUGUAAAGCACUUUAAGCGAGGAGGAGGCUACUUGGAUUAAUACUCUAGGAUAGUGGACGUUACUCGCAGAAUAAGCACCGGCUAACUCUGUGCCAGCAGCCGCGGUAAUACAGAGGGUGCGAGCGUUAAUCGGAUUUACUGGGCGUAAAGCGUGCGUAGGCGGCUUCUUAAGUCGGAUGUGAAAUCCCUGAGCUUAACUUAGGAAUUGCAUUCGAUACUGGGAAGCUAGAGUAUGGGAGAGGAUGGUAGAAUUCCAGGUGUAGCGGUGAAAUGCGUAGAGAUCUGGAGGAAUACCGAUGGCGAAGGCAGCCAUCUGGCCUAAUACUGACGCUGAGGUACGAAAGCAUGGGGAGCAAACAGGAUUAGAUACCCUGGUAGUCCAUGCCGUAAACGAUGUCUACUAGCCGUUGGGGCCUUUGAGGCUUUAGUGGCGCAGCUAGCGCGAUAAGUAGACCGCCUGGGGAGUACGGUCGCAAGACUAAAACUCAAAUGAAUUGACGGGGGCCCGCACAAGCGGUGGAGCAUGUGGUUUAAUUCGAUGCAACGCGAAGAACCUUACCUGGUCUUGACAUAGUAAGAACUUUCCAGAGAUGGAUUGGUGCCUUCGGGAACUUACAUACAGGUGCUGCAUGGCUGUCGUCAGCUCGUGUCGUGAGAUGUUGGGUUAAGUCCCGCAACGAGCGCAACCCUUUUCCUUAUUUGCCAGCGGGUUAAGCCGGGAACUUUAAGGAUACUGCCAGUGACAAACUGGAGGAAGGCGGGGACGACGUCAAGUCAUCAUGGCCCUUACGACCAGGGCUACACACGUGCUACAAUGGUCGGUACAAAGGGUUGCUACCUAGCGAUAGGAUGCUAAUCUCAAAAAGCCGAUCGUAGUCCGGAUUGGAGUCUGCAACUCGAC